AUUGAACGCUGGCGGCAUGCCUUACACAUGCAAGUCGAACGGUAACAGGUCUUCGGAUGCUGACGAGUGGCGAACGGGUGAGUAAUGCAUCGGAACGUGCCCAGUAGUGGGGGAUAGCCCGGCGAAAGCCGGAUUAAUACCGCAUACGACCUGAGGGUGAAAGGGGGGGAUCGCAAGACCUCUCGCUAUUGCAGCGGCCGAUGUCAGAUUAGCUAGUUGGUGGGGUAAAGGCCUACCAAGGCAACGAUCUGUAGUUGGUCUGAGAGGACGACCAGCCACACUGGGACUGAGACACGGCCCAGACUCCUACGGGGGGCAGCAGUGGGGAAUUUUGGACAAUGGGCGCAAGCCUGAUCCAGCAAUGCCGCGUGCAGGAAGAAGGCCUUCGGGUUGUAAACUGCUUUUGUCAGGGAAGAAAUCUUCUGGGUUAAUACCUCGGGAGGAUGACGGUACCUGAAGAAUAAGCACCGGCUAACUACGUGCCAGCAGCCGCAGUAAGAC
rnacentral:rRNA from 1 species